AAAUUGAAGAGUUUGAUCAUGGCUCAGAUUGAACGCUGGCGGCAGGCCUAACACAUGCAAGUCGAACGGUAACAGGAAGCAGCUUGCUGCUUGCUGACGAGUGGCGGACGGGUGAGUAAUGUCUGGGAAACUGCCUGAUGGAGGGGGAUAACUACUGGAAACGGUGGCUAAUACCGCAUAACGUCGCAAGACCAAAGAGGGGGACCUUCGGGCCUCUUGCCAUCAGAUGUGCCCAGAUGGGAUUAGCUUGUUGGUGAGGUAACGGCUCACCAAGGCGACGAUCCCUAGCUGGUCUGAGAGGAUGACCAGCCACACUGGAACUGAGACACGGUCCAGACUCCUACGGGAGGCAGCAGUGGGGAAUAUUGCACAAUGGGCGCAAGCCUGAUGCAGCCAUGCCGCGUGUAUGAAGAAGGCCUUCGGGUUGUAAAGUACUUUCAGCGGGGAGGAAGGUGUUGUGGUUAAUAACCACAGCAAUUGACGUUACCCGCAGAAGAAGCACCGGCUAACUCCGUGCCAGCAGCCGCGGUAAUACGGAGGGUGCAAGCGUUAAUCGGAAUUACUGGGCGUAAAGCGCACGCAGGCGGUCUGUCAAGUCGGAUGUGAAAUCCCCGGGCUCAACCUGGGAACUGCAUUCGAAACUGGCAGGCUUGAGUCUUGUAGAGGGGGGUAGAAUUCCAGGUGUAGCGGUGAAAUGCGUAGAGAUCUGGAGGAAUACCGGUGGCGAAGGCGGCCCCCUGGACAAAGACUGACGCUCAGGUGCGAAAGCGUGGGGAGCAAACAGGAUUAGAUACCCUGGUAGUCCACGCCGUAAACGAUGUCUACUUGGAGGUUGUGCCCUUGAGGCGUGGCUUCCGGAGCUAACGCGUUAAGUAGACCGCCUGGGGAGUACGGCCGCAAGGUUAAAACUCAAAUGAAUUGACGGGGGCCCGCACAAGCGGUGGAGCAUGUGGUUUAAUUCGAUGCAACGCGAAGAACCUUACCUGGUCUUGACAUCCACGGAAGUUUUCAGAGAUGAGAAUGUGCCUUCGGGAACCGUGAGACAGGUGCUGCAUGGCUGUCGUCAGCUCGUGUUGUGAAAUGUUGGGUUAAGUCCCGCAACGAGCGCAACCCUUAUCCUUUGUUGCCAGCGGUUAGGCCGGGAACUCAAAGGAGACUGCCAGUGAUAAACUGGAGGAAGGUGGGGAUGACGUCAAGUCAUCAUGGCCCUUACGACCAGGGCUACACACGUGCUACAAUGGCGCAUACAAAGAGAAGCGACCUCGCGAGAGCAAGCGGACCUCAUAAAGUGCGUCGUAGUCCGGAUUGGAGUCUGCAACUCGACUCCAUGAAGUCGGAAUCGCUAGUAAUCGUGGAUCAGAAUGCCACGGUGAAUACGUUCCCGGGCCUUGUACACACCGCCCGUCACACCAUGGGAGUGGGUUGCAAAAGAAGUAGGUAGCUUAACCUUCGGGAGGGCGCUUACCACUUUGUGAUUCAUGACUGGGGUGAAGUCGUAACAAGGUAACCGUAGGGGAACCUGCGGUUGGAUCACCUCCUUACCUUAAAG
rnacentral:rRNA from 1 species